UCCCUGGAGGACUAGUGGUUAGGCAACGGCGCUGUCACUGCCGCGGCCCGGGUUUGAUUCCUGGCCAGGGAA
rnacentral:tRNA from 1 species